rnacentral:rRNA from 1 species
GUGUCAGCAGCCGCGGUAACACGUAGGGCGCGAGCGUUGUCCGGAAUUAUUGGGCGUAAAGAGCUCGUAGGCGGCCUGUUGCGUCCGCUGUGAAAGCCCGGGGCUUAACCCCGGGUCGGCAGUGGAUACGGGCAGGCUAGAGGUAGGUAGGGGAGAAUGGAAUUCCCGGUGUAGCGGUGAAAUGCGCAGAUAUCGGGAGGAACACCGGUGGCGAAGGCGGUUCUCUGGGCCUUACCUGACGCUGAGGAGCGAAAGCGUGGGGAGCGAACAGGAUUAGAUACCCCCGUAGUCC